AUGUACCCACGUACACUCCAGUUCCUCCGCGCCGUCCGCCCCACCUGACAACUGCUCGCUACCUUUUGUUAGCC
rnacentral:sRNA from 2 species